UGCAGAGGUCCCAAGCGUUGUUCGGAUUCACUGGGCGUAAAGGGUGCGUAGGUGGUGAGGUAAGUCGGAUGUGAAAGCUCGGAGCUCAACUCCGAAAUGGCAUUGGAAACUACCUUGCUCGAGGGUUGGAGGGGGGGACUGGAAUACUUGGUGUAGCAGUGAAAUGCGUAGAUAUCAAGUGGAACACCAGUGGCGAAGGCGAGUCCCUGGACAACUCCUGACACUGAGGCACGAAAGCUAGGGGAGCAAACAGG
rnacentral:rRNA from 1 species